AGUUGUCUAUUGACCAUUAUCUUUUUUUAGAGCACAGAUAUAUAGUAAAACCAAGAUCAGAAACCAGUUUCAAUGUAUACCUUUGUAUUUCCGUAAGUUUGACGCGAUGUAUGAUAAAACUUCUGCAAGCCUUAUGUCUCGUGUUAACAUCCCAUUCCGGCUUUGCGUGUAUAUGAUGGGGAUUCGCACGGGGAACGCAUAAGCAUCUUGUAAUGUUACGGCAAUCGACCACGAUAAGGGAGAAAUCAAGCACAGGCCUAACGUAACGUAGGUACUCUCCAAUGCGUCUCAAUCACUGACUUUCAGACCCCUUAUGAAAGUUUCUUAACCCAAGCCGAGAAUCCAAAUCAAGGCCCCAUGCCCUGCAGUCAUUCUAAGCAGCAAUAAUAUUUUUAUAAUUGAAUAGAAUUAUAUCCGCUUCCCUACAUAGUCCUUAUCAUCUCUUCUCAACUCCCGUAUGCGGACCGUACAUAAAUCCCUAUUGUUCAAUCUAUUGAUAAGCAGCCUUCACCCUACUCGCAAAGUUCGCUGAGGUGAAAUGAAACAGCCUCCACAAUAUUCGCGAAGUUGCUCGAGAUGAGGUAUAUUUACAAAGAGUGUGGUGGGGCACUUCGGUCAACUUUGCCUCGCUUUUACUGCGUCUUCAUGGGCUAGAAUCAUAUCAACUCCACCAAGUGCGUUGCCGUCGUCGCCGUAAAAUAUCGUCGCUAUAAAAUAUAUUUGUCUAUGAGUCUUUAUAUGAAACACGAACGAAAUAAAAUUAAUAGACUGUGUUCAGUUAUGAAUUUUCUGAAUCUGUGAAGAGUUAGAACUAAAAUUAAAAAAAAAGAAGUUUUAUUUCAUGCCAUUAAAAAUUUAAAAGAAGUUUUAUUUUUCUAAUAUUUUGAAUUUCGAUUUCAAAUGAUUCGGUUUUGUUUGUAGUAUUUUGUUUGUUGUGGUGUGUGCUUUUACAUUUACACUAAAUAAAACAUAAUACCGUUCUGCAAAAGCUAAUUUACUUUGCUUGUGUUUGACACAUCUUGGAAAGAAACUGGUGAAGCAAGAUAACCCUUAUUUUAAAAAAAGGUACUCAUAUUUAUUAUUCUAAUAUUGUAGUUAACAAACUUCAAAUGGAGGAAAAAGAAAAUUUCGUCGAUUAUUACAAAGUACUAGAGUGUGAUAGAACUGUAUCGAGUGACGAUCUAAAGAAGAAUUACAAACGUCUCAUACUGUCUUCACAUCCUGACAAGGUUGAUGAUCAAAGCGACGAAAGUUUCCUGUUGAUUCAGAAAGCAUGGGCAGUGCUUAAAGAUCCUCUGACUAGGAAACAGUAUGACGCGAUGUUGUCGUGUCAUGAAAACAGUGAAUGUUUACUGUAUGAUACUGUUAGUUUGAGUGACAUGAAUUUUGACUCCAGUGAAGGUGAAUAUACUUACCCGUGUAGGUGUGGAGGUACAUAUGUGUUGGGCAGUGAGGAAUCAGUCCCGUCUCAAGUUAUUAUCGGUUGUGAUGAAUGUUCCUUUUCUAUACAAGUCAACAAGCCAUCGUGAUAGACUUGGUGAACUUUUAAGCAGUGAUAUUAUAUGUGUGUUUAAUUUCUUAUAUGCAAAACUCUGUAUAAACUUAUGUACAUAUAUAUGUAGCUUGAAAUAGAAUAUCUACUUCACUUAAUAAUGAUACUGUGUCAGUAAAAUGAGUUUUUAUUUUCUUAAAUUGAUAGCUCAUUCAUGUAAAAUACUUUUUAAUAAACAUAGAUUUAUAAUAGCAUUCCGCAGACAAACCGUGUAAACGGUUUUGUGGAGCAUAGAUUUAUAGCAUAGAUUGUAAGAAAACGUGUUUGUGAUAAUAAAAUAAAAUAAAUAAAUAAAAUGGGUUCCUUUUUAAUUCUGUUAAUUGAAUUGAGUAUAUACAUAGAUAUACUUUACUUAUUCUUUCAAACUAAUAAAACAUCCCGCCAGAGCAUACAGUUUUUUACUUUUGCAGCAUUCUUAUUUAAGUGAAGUUGAAUUGCAUAAUAUUUAUUUUGUGUAAUUAGUAAAAAUAUUUUGAUUGCAAAAAACUUACUAGAACUGAAACCUCAUAGAGUAUGCCUAGCAUUAUUUGUUAACUUAAAAAUAUUAUUUUUAUGUAUUGUAUCUCUAGUCUUGUCUUGUAAUAAAGUAGAAUAGAAUUUCAGUUAUGAACUAAGUUGGUACCAGACAUUGUUUAGUGUAUCAAUUGUUAUUAUAUAGUUGUAAAAUAUAUAUCUAUUAUUUCUUAUGUAUAACUAAAUGUUGGUUAUAGUAAGAAAGAAAGAAAGAAAGAAAGAAAAUCCAUUUAUUUCGAACACACGAAUGACGCAAGAAACAAAUAAGUAAAUAUGGCACAAAACAAACAAUACAGUGAACAUAAAAAGGAAAAAAAAAAAAAAACGCUGCAAUUGCGUCACUCGUGCGUGAAAGGGACAGCGCUCAGCAUAAAUGCUGUAUCUCGCGCACGCAGGCACGAGACAACAGCGCUGGUUUUCAGCGCAGACAAACAGCGGGUG
rnacentral:lncRNA from 1 species